AAUGUGCCUGAGUGACUGAAAAGAGCGGAGCCAGGAUCAACCCCUCCCCAGACAUCAUUUAAGGGUUGGCAGUGGAAGCAAGGGUGUCUUGUUGGUGAUCCUUGUGUGUUUGAGAUUUUCUGAAGAUUCUGCCUCAGCACAGCAGCCUGAGGUGGCUGAUGCCUACAAAUGAAGAAGGACAUCUGCCGGGGAGCCUCAGAUGCUGACCCAGGCAAGAGAAUAACUGUGACAGAAAACAAACAAACCAAUGCAAGUCAUACUGUGAAGAACAGAUUAUACGCAGAAAGAAUCUCUUCCUGUCUCCAGGCAUUAACUGACAAAUACUUCUCCUGAUGUUAUCCUCCCUAGUGGGUAGGCUCAUGUCUGGGCUGGAUGACCUACUUAUCACAUUCAUAAUGAUUUCCAUGAAUUUGGAAUACAUUAACAAUUUCUGUUUUUGAUUACAUUUGGUUGAUUAUGGAAUAAAC